rnacentral:misc_RNA from 1 species
GCAGUCUGGAAAAGGGAAGGGUUAUAGGCAGAUGAGUUGGGACUUGAACUCGCAUUGGCAAAAAUGAUGUGCGGGUUUGAAAGGAGAUUGGAAUAAAAUUGAUCAGCUACAAAAACACGGUCGCCCACUGAUUUAUUGGUGGAGGAUCCACAAUCUAUCAAGUAGUUGUCUACAGGAUUAUAUCCUAAUGAAAGACAUAUCAAACAUAAUAUUGAAGAAACCCAGAAGAGUAAUCCAGAACUC